AGCCCCGUUUACAGCUGACGCAGCAGCCGAGAGGCGCGCACGGCCGGGGUGAGGCUGCCUGGCAGGUUGGCACGGCCUCUGAACUCCUCAGCUGGCCUCUCCAGACCCCUGUCGCACUCCUCUUCCAAGGGCUCAGUGUUGGGAUUCACUCUGGGGCAUGAUUCAAGGUGCCUCCUAGUGAGGUCCUUCCCCGUCACUGAAGCUCCCUGCUAACGCACCCGGGAAAGCUGCAGACGAUGGCCCAAGUGGGAUCUGGAUGGAGCUACAGGCUCUUGGCUUCAGCCUGGCUCAGACCUGGCUAUUGUAACCAUUUAGGGAAUGAACCAGUGCAUGGAAGGUCUCUCUGUCUCUCCCUGCCUCUGUUACUCUGCCUUUCAAACAAACAAACAAUCUUUUUUAAAAAAAAAAGCCAUCUUCUAGAAGAAAUGUGCCCUCGUGGCCUGGGUGCCCCCCCCUCCCCGGGCCUUUGCUGCCUUGGGCCUGUGCUGCCUGAGGCUCGCUCUCUUCUGCCUUCAUUUGCCCCGUAGCCCAGGAGCUGCCCCUCACCCAUCUGUGUGCCAGGACCCCUGUGGUAGCAGCCACCAGCGGGGGGGGUCCCCACAAGCACCAUCUCAUUUACCUUCAUACCAGCCAGGAGUGGUGGCAGCAUUGUGUCAUGGCUACAGACGACCCAGGCUGGCCCAGGCUCACGUCACAGUACUCGGGUAAAUGAGUUUUCCAAAGUCAAUCUCUGCCCACAUCAGGCACUGAGGACACUCAGUGGUGAUUGGUGAUUGACUAUGUGACUGCUGGGGCUGGCAUCUUCCUCCUUCCUCUGCCUUCUCGGAUCCCCAGAUGGAGUUAACCACUGCUUCCCGGGCCCUCGCCUGCACUGCUCACCACCAGAGCCUCUCCGGGCAGCCGCUGCCGUCCAUGCUGGAGUUGGUCUCCCUCCUGGUCCGUAGCCCCUGGGAGACAGGGGUGGAGAAGCACUCCGUGAAGCACCCAGAGCAGCACCUGGUGUGUCGUAGGAGCCCCGCCAGUGGCCCCGGUUGCACACCAGAGUCAGCUGCAGAGAAUGUUCUAGAAACAUCAAAUGGUAAGUACUUCAAGCUUGGCAGCGGCCAGCUGUUGGAGGUGUCUCCCCCAAACCAGGAGGGCGGUGCUGCCUGUGCUCAUCCUAAGUCCCCAGCCGCUGCCCCCCGGGGAGUCCCUCUCAGACCCCGCCCUCCGAGUUCUCCUGUGGGUCUCUCCAGCUGAUCUGCUCCAGCAGACUCCCCCAUGCUCGCCUUUGCUGCCUCCCCAGAACAUUUCACGGAACUCCAGGCAGGGGCUUAGAGGAACAGUGGGCAAGACCCUCCCCUCCCUCCUGGCCUCAGCCGGGCCCCACCUUUGGAGUUGUUUUUUCUGAAGAUGUUAUCUUCAAGCUUGGAGGCCAUAUUCUUAAUUGCUCCUUAGACUUCUCCUCCUGGUUGGUAGUUGUGGGUUGAGUUGUGUUCCGUAGAAAUAUAUGCGGCGCUGGCAUCCCAUGUGGGUGCUGGCUUGAGACUCGGCUGCUCCACUUUCAAUCCAGCUCCCUGCUAAUGGCCUGGGAAAGCAGUGGAAGAUGGCCCAAGUGCUUGGGCCCCUGCACCCACGUGGGAGACCUGGAUGGAGCUCCUGGCUCCCAGCUUUGGCCUGGCCAAGACCUGACUGUUGUGGGCAUUUGGGGAGUCAAUCAGCAGAUGAAAGACUUCUGUCUCUCUGCCUUUUAAGUAAAAAUGAAAAUAAAAUUUAAAAAAAUUUAUUUGAAAGGCA
rnacentral:lncRNA from 1 species